UUUAUUUUUCAUAUUCUGAGACCAAACUACCGUGAUGUAUCCUGCGCUCCAGCCAUUGCUGGGGGUCUCUGGGGGGGGGGGGGGUUAUUACAAACAAGAAAGACUUGUUGAAGGAAGGUGUUGCUCGGGCAGGACAUGGAAUGGAACGUUCCUGUGUGGAACUGACGCUGCGACGGAAUCGCUGUACUGCGCUCUUAGGCGCGCUGCCAGCCUGGCGGGAAAUCGCGGCAGGACAGAGAACAUGAGCCGAGACUACAAUUUUAUUGGAGAAGAGAUCAUUUCCAUUGUAUCCUCAUCACUCUUCAGCUGAAGGACAACAAGCUGCUCCUGGCUUCCUAUUGAAAGGCCACAAUAACCCCCAGCAGGGAAAUUAAGGAUGUUCCUAAAUAAUCAGCAGGACAAAUUCUACUAUUGGUUUAAUUUAGAUAUGACUCCUCCCUCUCCCCAUUGCCCACCUGUUGGUGCUGCUGCCAGGCCUGAAGGCUGAGCUUAUGGCCCAUGGCUAUGGGUGGUUCAAGUAACUGGACAUGGAGUUUGCAUUGGAUCCUUGGAGGAUGGGCCACAUCGGAUAGGCUGGAAUACUGACGGAAAUAUUGCCUGAUCCUCUGCCCAGCGUGACAGCUGAUAUAUGCUUAGAUACAAUGAAACAGGAAAGUGUAUUAAAGGGGAACUUAGCUUAUCUGUGCCCCCCUGAUCUCUACCCCACCCCAUCUCCCCGACUGGCAAAAAGACAACUAUUUCCUCAUACCUAGUGCCAAGCUGUGCGGUGAGGUUGUACUGCCAUGUUUGGCUGCAUUAUUUCUGGCCCCAGGCACCAUGGCGCUGAUCCUAUAGCAGGGCAAGUACGUAUGGUUGGCCAUCACCACCGUGGCAGUGACUUGACUAGACCUGCCAAUCCUGCUGACCAGCUUUGGAUGUCGGCACCAGGUCUGGGGGGGGCACAAGUUGUCUUUUCGGCAGAAGAGGUGAUGUGAUUGGGUAUUUGCAGUGGGUCCUCUGCGUGUUUAGUUCCCCUUUAACUGUGACACUUCCAGCAGCUUCAGCUCUCCAGCUUCUGCAGAACUACUGCUCCCAGCAUUCCCUAAUAGCCGAGGGUUGCUUGGAAUUGUAGUUCAGUGCUGAGUAAAGAGGUUGGUGGGGCAUCCAGAAUUAUAAUUUAUAAACCCUGCCACAAUACACACUAAACACACACAGUCACACACGCAGCCAUACGCACAGUGCCGCGAGUAGCACAGCUUGAUGUGUCGGGGUGCAGCUGUUGCCGGUGACAGGCACGGCUGAGCAGACACCAUAUGGAACGUAGCAGGUCCCCAUAUGGCCCAAUUAGCCCCUCACCUAAACGACUAUCAGUCAAAUAUUUCAUAGUAGCAGAUUCCCGCUUGUUACUUGUUUCCUCUAAUCAAGAAACACUGUGCGACUCGGGGAACAGUUUUACCCCCUUUUGUGUUUGUUGUGUUGUCCUCUGAUGUCUAAUGUUCCUCCCUCCAGCUGUUUCUAACUCUUAGUAAGCUGUCAGGGGUUGCUGGGA